UCAUCUCUGGGGAAAAAAAGAUUCUAUGGGUUGAACAGAUGGCUCAGCAGUUAAGAGCACUGACUGCUCUUCCAGAGGCCCCAGGUUCAAUUCCCAGCACCCACAUGGCAGCUCACAUUUGUCUGUAACACUAGUUCCAGGACUUCUGACACUUUCACAUAGACAUAAAUGCAGGCAAAACACCACUGAACAUUAAAAAAAUAAUAAAUUGUAUGUAUAUAUACAUACA